GGUUAAGUGACUAAGCGUACACGGUGGAUGCCUUGGCAGUCAGAGGCGAUGAAAGACGUAGUAACUUGCGAUAAGCCCAGAUUAGGUAGUAACAACCAUUUGAGUCUGGGAUUUCUGAAUGGGGAAACCCACUUACAUAAGUAAGUAUCAUUAACUGAAUACAUAGGUUAAUGAGGCGAACCGGGGGAACUGAAACAUCUAAGUACCCCGAGGAAAAGAAAUCAACCGAGAUUCCGAAAGUAGCGGCGAGCGAAAUUGGACUAGCCCUUAAGCUUUACACGCGUUAGACGAACGGUCUGGAAAGUCCGACGAUACAGGGUGAUAGUCCCGUAGUUGACGACGUGUGUUCAGUGAAAUCGAGUAGGGCGGGACACGUGAUAUCCUGUCUGAAUAUGGGGGGACCAUCCUCCAAGGCUAAAUACUACUGACUGACCGAUAGUGAACCAGUACCGUGAGGGAAAGGCGAAAAGAACCCCUGUGAGGGGAGUGAAAUAGAACCUGAAACCGUGUACGUACAAGCAGUAGGAGCAGGCUUGUCCUGUGACUGCGUACCUUUUGUAUAAUGGGUCAGCGACUUAUAUUCAGUGGCAAGGUUAACCAUCUAGGGGAGCCGUAGGGAAACCGAGUCUUAACUGGGCGUUCAGUCUCUGGAUAUAGACCCGAAACCAGGUGAUCUAGCCAUGGGCAGGUUGAAGGUUGAGUAACAUCAACUGGAGGACCGAACCGACUAAUGUUGAAAAAUUAGCGGAUGACUUGUGGCUAGGGGUGAAAGGCCAAUCAAACCUGGAGAUAGCUGGUUCUCCCCGAAAGCUAUUUAGGUAGCGCCUCGGACGAAUACUACUGGGGGUAGAGCACUGUUAAGGCUAGGGGGUCAUCCCGACUUACCAACCCUUUGCAAACUCCGAAUACCAGUAAGUACUAUCCGGGAGACACACGGCGGGUGCUAACGUCCGUCGUGGAGAGGGAAACAACCCAGACCGCCAGCUAAGGUCCCAAAUUACUACUAAGUGGGAAACGAUGUGGGAAGGCUCAGACAGCCAGGAUGUUGGCUUAGAAGCAGCCAUCAUUUAAAGAAAGCGUAAUAGCUCACUGGUCGAGUCGGCCUGCGCGGAAGAUGUAACGGGGCUAAGUAGUAAACCGAAGCUGCGGCAAUGUGCUUUUGCACAUUGGGUAGGGGAGCGUUCUGUAAGCGGUUGAAGGUGUGUGGUAACGCAUGCUGGACGUAUCAGAAGUGCGAAUGCUGACAUGAGUAACGAUAAAGGGGGUGAAAAACCUCCUCGCCGGAAGACCAAGGGUUCCUGUCCAACGUUAAUCGGGGCAGGGUAAGUCGACCCCUAAGGCGAGGCCGAAAGGCGUAGUCGAUGGGAAACGGGUUAAUAUUCCCGUACUUCUUACAAUUGCGAUGGGGGGACGGAGAAGGCUAGGUGGGCCUGGCGACGGUUGUCCAGGUUCAAGUGCGUAGGCUUAAGAGUUAGGUAAAUCCGGCUCUUUUUAAGGCUGAGACACGACGUCGAGCACCUACGGGUGUGAAGUCAUUGAUGCCAUGCUUCCAGGAAAAGCCUCUAAGCUUCAGAUUGUAAGGAAUCGUACCCCAAACCGACACAGGUGGUCGGGUAGAGAAUACCAAGGCGCUUGAGAGAACUCGGGUGAAGGAACUAGGCAAAAUGGUACCGUAACUUCGGGAGAAGGUACGCUCUUGAUGGUGAAGUCCCUCGCGGAUGGAGCUGACGAGAGUCGCAGAUACCAGGUGGCUGCAACUGUUUAUUAAAAACACAGCACUGUGCAAAAUCGUAAGAUGACGUAUACGGUGUGACGCCUGCCCGGUGCCGGAAGGUUAAUUGAUGGGGUUAGACUUCGGUCGAAGCUCUUGAUCGAAGCCCCGGUAAACGGCGGCCGUAACUAUAACGGUCCUAAGGUAGCGAAAUUCCUUGUCGGGUAAGUUCCGACCUGCACGAAUGGCGUAAUGAUGGCCACGCUGUCUCCACCCGAGACUCAGUGAAAUUGAAAUCGCUGUGAAGAUGCAGUGUACCCGCGGCUAGACGGAAAGACCCCGUGAACCUUUACUACAGCUUGGCACUGAACAUUGACCCUACAUGUGUAGGAUAGGUGGGAGGCUUUGAAGCAGGUACGCCAGUAUCUGUGGAGCCGUCCUUGAAAUACCACCCUUGUAGUGUUGAUGUUCUAACGUCGACCCCUUAUCGGGGUUGCGGACAGUGCCUGGUGGGUAGUUUGACUGGGGCGGUCUCCUCCCAAAGAGUAACGGAGGAGCACGAAGGUGGGCUAAUCACGGUUGGACAUCGUGAGGUUAGUGCAAUGGCAUAAGCCCGCUUGACUGCGAGAAUGACAAUUCGAGCAGGUGCGAAAGCAGGUCAUAGUGAUCCGGUGGUUCUGAAUGGAAGGGCCAUCGCUCAACGGAUAAAAGGUACUCCGGGGAUAACAGGCUGAUACCGCCCAAGAGUUCAUAUCGACGGCGGUGUUUGGCACCUCGAUGUCGGCUCAUCACAUCCUGGGGCUGAAGUCGGUCCCAAGGGUAUGGCUGUUCGCCAUUUAAAGUGGUACGCGAGCUGGGUUUAGAACGUCGUGAGACAGUUCGGUCCCUAUCUGCCGUGGGCGUUGGAAGAUUGAAGGGGGCUGCUCCUAGUACGAGAGGACCGGAGUGGACGAACCUCUGGUGUUCGGGUUGUGUCGCCAGACGCAUUGCCCGGUAGCUAAGUUCGGAAUCGAUAACCGCUGAAAGCAUCUAAGCGGGAAGCGAGCCCUGAGAUGAGUCUUCCCUGAUACUUUAAGUAUCCUAAAGGGUUGUCGGAGACUACGACGUUGAUAGGUCAGGUGUGUAAGUGCUGUGAGGCAUUGAGCUAACUGAUACUAAUUGCCCGUGAGGCUUAACCAU
rnacentral:rRNA from 1 species